CGUUUUUUGUGGUGUUUUGUGUUCUUAGCAUUUCGCUUCUGCAGCACUGGGACACAAAUUCUCCGCUGAUAUGAGCAGCAAUCAAACGGAAUGUCUUGGAAAAAGGUCAACCUCUCCGAGCGUCACGACAUCAUCACCGUGAAAAGAUGUCGAGUCUCUCCCCGAGCUGCUCCACCUUCCUCCUGUACCUGCCUGCGAGGCUCCGCCACGGCUCUGUGUGUUUGUCGACUUAAUGCUGGAGCAGGGCUCUAAUCUGCCAUUAAGACAGGGGGGAAGAGAGGCUUACUGGUGUUUCUCUUACAAAUCCACUUCCAGAAAACCCCCGGCAGAGAUGCUGCACUGCAUCCCAAAGGAUUAGUGAUAGGGCUGCCACCGACAGGAGGAGGGGAGAAAAGGGUCAAAAAGAAAGUGAAAGUGAUAGAAUAACAGAGGUGUGGGGAUGGAUGGAAGGCUUCAGGAACAGCGGCCAAGC